rnacentral:rRNA from 1 species
GUUUUAACUGGAGAGUUUGAUCCUGGCUCAGAACGAACGCUGGCGGCGUGCCUAACACAUGCAAGUCGAGCGGGAAAGUUCCCUUCGGGGAGCGAGUACAGCGGCGAACGGGUGAGUACAACGUAGGUAACCUACCCCCGAGCCUGGGAUAACCUGUCGAAAGACGGGCUAAUACCGGAUAAGACCACGAGGGCUGCGGCCCUUGGGGGAAAAGGUGGCCUCUGCUUGCAAGCUACCACUCGAGGAUGGGCCUGCGCGCCAUUAGCUAGUUGGUGAGGUAAUGGCUCACCAAGGCGAAGAUGGCUAGCUGGUCUGAGAGGAUGGCCAGCCACACUGGGACUGAGACACGGCC